ACAUCUGUUUUAGAUGAAUUGCAACCGAAAAUUUAACCAAACACAUUUUACUCUAAAAAAGGUUAAAUAUUUAUACGGAAGGUGUAAUUUUACCACGACUUCGAUGCAAUAUUGCACACAACAGUUUUCGAACAACAACAUCGAAAGACGGCGACUGCAAAUUUCAUAACUGUCAAAGUCUUUGUUUUGAUAUUUGCUAAAACGAUCGUCUCGCGUUGAUUCGUCGUGUUUAUUUAGGAAAAAUAAGUAAUCUGCAGUAGUUUUUCGGUGCUUCGGUGCGAAUGUUGUGAGUGAAGGCUGUGUUCCUCCAAAGCUCCAAGGGUCAGCAGAUUUCGGAAGAAGAACUGUUAAACUUUCGACAAGAGCCGCCUGCCCACGAUGGCAAGCGUUGUCAAAAGGAGGAGGACCAGAGACGGUGAACAUGGACAAACCAGUUGACAGAUUGCGGCGCAGGUGAACAACGAGAUCCGGAUUGACGGAAUUCCUCACUUUUUGCAGUGUCAAACCGGAAGUUCCAGCGAGAAUCGAUUCAAGCUCUGUAAAGUCCACCAAGAGGCGCCCAUUUUCACACACCCGCGUGUUCACGAUUCGGAAUCUGGUAUCAGGCACUGGCAUUUGCUCGACGAGUGGUUUCCGGCCGUGGAGGAAGGAGUCUUCCUGCUGUAGACAAACCCGGCAGUUCAUGCUGUCGCUACGAAUCUCAAUACCAACCGGCCGGGUUCCAGCCUCAUCCCUGGCUCGGUCUCAUUGAUCACACUGCUACGCUGAGUCGGCCACCGCCGGAAACCUGCUCCUCACCUUCUGCAAAGCUGACCGGAAAAAGAUCAUUGAAGGCGGACAAUAAUGCACCGUAAGUGAUUAUUUUUUAAUGAUUUAUUAUGAUAUUGUUAUAUUGUUACCGACGAAAAUCCCCUGGUGAAAAUAAAAAGAUUAGUUCGACAAUUCGUUUUGUUUAUAUUCUCUAUAAUUGAUGACAAUUCGAUACCUAUCCUCUCAUUCUCUUUUCCUGAAAUUAAACAUUUGUAGAUGUAAAAUUCACCAUUUAUAGGAAAAUUUCAU